UGUACGCUAGCCUCUAGACACUUGGAUAGCACCGUGGGCGCCUCGUCGCGGACAAGAAGGGAGAUUGGUAGGCGUCGCCGUCGGGGAACUUCCCUUGUCGCCAUCGUUCUAUCCUCGGAAGAUAGACCGAGGGAUUCGCCAACGUGUGUGGAAGGUUCCGUCAACCCGGGCUCGGCGUGGGAGUCGCUGGUGGAUCGUGAAUUCCUCGCCGAACUGGGAGAAGAAUAGGUGGUCCAGGAGGAGUCGUACAAUGAAGAGUAUGAGUUGAUCUAGGUGGUGUCUCCCAGUCAGCUUUGUGGCGCCAAGGAAUAAUAUUUAGUUCACUUUAUUAUUAUCAUUUAUUUAUGUAAGACUUCCGCUAUGUAAUAAUGACAUUUAUGAUAUUUGUGACAUUUAUCUC